GAUGAACGCUAGCUACAGGCUUAACACAUGCAAGUCGAGGGGAAACGACAUCGAAAGCUUGCUUUUGAUGGGCGUCGACCGGCGCACGGGUGAGUAACGCGUAUCCAACCUGCCCAUCACUUGGGAAUAACCUUGCGAAAGUAAGACUAAUACCCAAUGAUAUCCCACGAAGGCAUCGGAAUGGGAUUAAAGAUUUAUCGGUGAUGGAUGGGGAUGCGUCUGAUUAGCUUGUUGGCGGGGUAACGGCCCACCAAGGCAACGAUCAGUAGGGGUUCUGAGAGGAAGGUCCCCCACAUUGGAACUGGGACACGAUCCAAACUCCUACGGGAGGCAGCAGUGAGGAAUAUUGGUCAAUGGGCGAGAGCCUGAACCAGCCAAGUAGCGUGCAGGAAGACGGCCCUAUGGGUUGUAAACUGCUUUUAUAAGGGAAUAAAGUGGGUCACGUGUGACUUUUUGCAUGUACCUUAUGAAUAAGGACCGGCUAAUUCCGUG
rnacentral:rRNA from 1 species